rnacentral:rRNA from 1 species
UGGGGAAUUUUGGACAAUGGGCGAAAGCCUGAUCCAGCAAUGCCGCGUGUGUGAAGAAGGCCUUCGGGUUGUAAAGCACUUUUGUCCGGAAAGAAAUCCUUGGCUCUAAUACAGUCGGGGGAUGACGGUACCGGAAGAAUAAGCACCGGCUAACUACGUGCCAGCAGCCGCGGUAAUACGUAGGGUGCAAGCGUUAAUCGGAAUUACUGGGCGUAAGCGUGCGCAGGCGGUUUGCUAAGACCGAUGUGAAAUCCCGGGCUCAACCUGGGAACUGCAUUGGUGACUGGGCAGGCUAGAGUAUGGCAGAGGGGGGUAGAAUUCCACGUGUAGCAGUGAAAUGCGUAGAGAUGUGGAGGAAUACCGAUGGCGAAGGCAGCCCCCUGGGCCAAUACUGACGCUCAUGCACGAAAGCGUGGGGGAGCAAACAGGAUU